rnacentral:rRNA from 1 species
GUAACGCGUAUCCAACCUUCCGUACACUCAGGGAUAGCCUUUCGAAAGAAAGAUUAAUACCUGAUGGUAUGAUGAGAUUGCAUGAUAGCAUCAUUAAAGAUUUAUCGGUGUACGUUGGGGAUGCGUUCCAUUAGGUAGUAGGCGGGGUAACGGCCCACCUAGCCAACGAUGGAUAGGGGUUCUGAGAGGAAGGUCCCCCACAUUGGAACUGAGACACGGUCCAAACUCCUACGGGAGGCAGCAGUGAGGAAUAUUGGUCAAUGGACGAGAGUCUGAACCAGCCAAGUAGCGUGAAGGAUGAAGGUCCUACGGAUUGUAAACUUCUUUUAUAAGGGAAUAAACCCUCCCACGUGUGGGAGCUUGUAUGUACCUUAUGAAUAAGCAUCGGCUAACUCCGUGCCAGCAGCCGCGGUAAUACGGAGGAUGCGAGCGUUAUCCGGAUUUAUUGGGUUUAAAGGGAGCGCAGACGGGUCGUUAAGUCAGCUGUGAAAGUUUGGGGCUCAACCUUAAAAUUGCAGUUGAUACUGGCGUCCUUGAGUGCGGUUGAGGUGUGCGGAAUUCGUGGUGUAGCGGUGAAAUGCUUAGAUAUCACGAAGAACUCCGAUUGCGAAGGCAGCACACUAA